AAAAUUCCUUUCUCAUGCUAUUGUCACAGCGAGGUUUCUCUCUCUCUCGACGAUUUCGACUCCCAAAUUCACACACAAACGCACAGAUCAUCCACAGCAGAAGCCAUCGUCAAGCCGCAACCGCUGCGUGCUCUAUUUUCCCCAAAUCAUCUAUUCUUUUUGGCUUUUUGCUCGGAUUUGGAGGCGGAAUUGAGCUGAAUUUAACUAACGUAAAUCGCAUCGCAUCGCACAUGCGGCGUUCGAUGGCAUGCACCGAAUAGGAUACGUGGCCGCGCCGCCGUUGCUUUCGAUUUAGGCGCGAAUUGGAUAAUACGAUGUCGCAUCUGGUGGUGAAACUGCGGCGGCAGGCGGUGGCGCCAUGCAUGACAUGCCCGCUCUGCCACAAGCUCUUCCGCGAGGCCACCACUAUCAUCGAGUGCCUCCACACAUUUUGCAGGAAGUGUAUAAACAAGAAGCUCUCAGAUGAGGAAAUGGAAUGCUGUCCAGUAUGCAAUAUUGAUUUGGGAUGUGUUCCAUUGGAAAAGUUGAGGCUGGACCAUAAUUUGGAAGAUGUGAGGGCAAAAGUAUUCCCUUAUAAGAGGAUGAAAGUGAGAGCUCCUGAAGUUGUAUCUCCUGUUACAUUACCUGCAAAGAGAAAGGAAAGAUCUCUCUCAUCAUUGGUAGUUAGCACUCCUAGGGUUUCAACUCAGAGUGGAAUGACUGGACGACGAUCAAAAUCCAUAACCAGGAAAGCAUCAAGAGGUUCCAGUUUCACUAUAGAGAAACCUAUUAUAAAAGAAGAUAACUCCAUGGAUGAUCACCAUGAAAACUCUAGCUCACCUGAGACACUAAAUAGAUCUACUCAGAAUAUGAGGCAGAGUUCUGUUGCUAGUGAUCCAUCCAAUCACCCUAGUCCUGAUAAGGGAAGAGAGAAUGGAUCUGAGACUUGGGAAGAGAUGGGUGACCUUUGGAAACCAUUGAAUUGUUUGGUGGAGGCAGCAAAUAGAAGCAAGUCUUCAAAGUGUAACAUGCAAGGAGAUCUAGCUAAAUCAGAAGCUCCAAAUUCCCUUGACAACGAGGGACCUCCAAAUAAAAGCAGAAGUAAAGAAAACAGGCAGAAACCAAAGGUUCAAAAUGUCAAGAAUUUCAAUGACCAUAUCCCUCCAGAUUCUGGAAGGCCCAAAAAGUUCCGCAAAGCUCGUCAAAAGAAGGCGCAGGAAUUCGCAGAAUUUAGACUCCCUCCUCAGGUUGUGUUUGGUGCUGGUGCUAAAUUCGACCGCAAGAAUCAUCCAAUUUGGUUUUCACUGGUAUCAGAUGGGCAGGAAGGCGAUGCACUGUCCUUGCCUCAGAUAGCUGCAAGUUACUUGAGAAUUAAAAUGAACCUCUUCAGAUGCUAGUAUUGCGUUACGAGAGUAAGUUCCUCGAAAAGAUAUGUACAAAUUUAUUUGGUAUUUAUGUAACUUCCCUCAUAAUUUAGAUCAUUUGGGCGUGAUUGUAUUUUGGUUGGACCAAAUCAAUAGAAUUCAUAGCAAUAGAGUCAUUCGUUGUUAAGUUUUUUGAACUUAGGUAUGGCUUUGAUAUCUGAAAAGUUUCAUGUUGGCACAGUUUUCUUCCAAAAACAUUUAUAUGCUUGAACGUUUUACUCGUAACACAUUUCCACUCUUCAAAGACGCCUCUAAACAUCUCUUUACAAUGUAAGACUUGUUAAGUCAACUGAACUAUUUCCCUUUUCUGUAAGGAAUUGCUUCCAGUGUAAUAAUAUGCUUAUCAUCUGUUUCAUGCAUAUACUAUCUCUACCUACAUAUUUUAGGCUUCUACUGCUUUUCCUCAGUGCUUCAGCUUUUGAUUUUACGUGACUAUAGUCUAUAAUUGUGUUUGUAUCAGUGAUGCAACAAUAUCUGGGAUUUUUUAGGAUGACUAUUGUUAUUGGCAGGCUAAAUUUCUCCACAGCAUACAUCUAUGAUUUCAGUGCUGAUAUAUAUAUUUACAGAUUACCACUCAAUCAUUUGGGUCUGUUUUGUCAGUUUGGAGGAUCUUUUUUAAUGGUGGAUCAGGGCUAUUUUCUUAUUAUGAAUAGCUGCCUCUUAUCAUAUAAUUGAAUCCACAUGCAUAUUGCAAAAGUCCCUGGCUUGCUCUUACAUAUGAAUUGUGUAACCGAUCCUCAUGCAUUGUCUUGCUUUCCGUUAUUGCUUCAUGCUUAAUUUCACUACAUAAAACAUGCUUAUCAUUUUCUUUGUUGGUUGGUUUUUAAACCAUUGUAAUCAUUUGAUGCCAUGGAAUAUCUCAGUAGCAAUCUAGCAAGAGAAAAUCAGUUUGAACUUAAUGAGGAAGAGUUCAUACUUGCAGGAGGUUUCUAAUAUACACAAAAUUAGUUUGUUUUUCUUCCCCGCUUCAUGAAUUUUUCUUAGCUAUGUUUUUCAGCCAGAGAAAUAGCAGAAUUCUGAAUUUUGUUAUUCACUUUCAUUUGUAAUCAUGCUUCAUCACUAUUUUGGUCUUGCUUUUCUGCGCAUUCGUUCUCGCUGAUCUUCUUGAGGAGGUUUAAGUACAUAAGGAAAUCAUAACUGUAAGAUUUUGAUUCAUUUCAUAUGAAAAUUUUAGCAUAAUAGGCUAUGUAAGGGCAAAUACUUUACAAUGAAGUACUGUUAGUACGAGUUAAUGUUUUAAAGUAAUCUGUUUCUCAUUGCAUUAUUAACAGGGAUGGGGGCAUGCCGGUUUCUUGCAUUCAAAAAUACCUGAAGCUGAAGCUAGAUCUUACAAGUGAAGAAGAGAUAGAAAUAAAAUGCAUGGGACAAGCAGUGAUGCCAACGUGGACACUGAAUACUGUAGUGGCUCGAUGGCUCGAAU